UGAACUGGUUUGUGAUGUAGUGGAGGAUGGAUGGGGUGGCCAGUUUCAUGAUGGCCAUUGCAACCCUCUUGUCUGGCAGGAUGGCCCAAUGCAUGUAAGUGUCCUUCCUCAUAAUGUGGGGUGCCAGCAUCGAGAUGAUAUGAUAGAAUGUCUCCCUUUUCAUUCAGAAUAUCUUCACCCACUGCUGGUCAUUUCAAGUGGUCAGCACAAUUCACUCCCACCAGUCCAAGCUGGUUUCAUGAGCCCACACCAUGGGAAUACUGAUCCUCCUCGGGUUUCUCAACAGAGCCCAGUCAUCCUCCACUUCUUUGCUUCCCUCCGGAUAUUCCACCUCCAUGGGUCUCUGUAUCUUCUUAUUUUUAUUGCUGUUAAUCUUACUGUGAAACCAGUAACACACCUUGCCAUUGAAUAGUCUGCCAUCAUUAUCCUUCUCAAGUGGUGCAGCCAAGAUCCCCAGCUAAGCAGCAUUUGCAGAACCAGUAUUGCCUUCUCCUCCUUCUCCUCCUGAUCUCCUAUGUCCUCCAUAUUCUUCAUAUCAAAGGACUCUUCACUGCAUUGUUCUCCAUCAUCAUGCAUUUCAUUCUCAGUCUCCAUUUUGCUCCUAUCCAUCAGCAGCCGCAGCUUCUCACCCCCCUCUGUACCAAGCAUGGGGCUGGGACUGUAGGGUGCUGUGUGGUCUGGAGCUUGGUGUAGCUGCGUUUUCAACAAGUCAACCCAGGGCAUUGGGGUUUUUGCACAUCGAUUUCAUCCUAAGAUAAGCAGCCACUGGAGUUCUGAUGUAAUCAAGCUUGCAAACAAAAAAGGUUUUGCCUGCUCCACUCCUGGUUAUGUAGGUUACUCAAAUUUUUUGCCACUUAAUGGAAAACAGGCAAUAAAAUCAUUUUGCACAAGCAGAUUAGUAGGUGUCAUCGUUUUUUGCAACCUUUUGGACCAUUAAGCAGCCAUCCCAAAGGACAUUGGCCUAUCUAGCCCAUGCUUAACCCCAUCACCAGGUCCUUGUUGGUAAACAGGGUGCUUCAUCACCUUUGGCUGUUUUGACACUUACAGGUAAUGACUUCACAGUCCUUGGAAUUUUCUCAGACCCUCAUGCAAGCACAGCCUGAGUAUAAAGGUGCCCCCCCCCCCCAAAUUUUGACAGCUACCUCUCAUGAAUCACUUAUGCUGUUGACUGUGAAUUGCUUUGCCAUGUUUCAUAAAGCCAAGGCCAGCAGUAUGGAGCCAACAGCCCAGGAGGCUGAUACCUCCAAUGCCUAUGGACCCAACUGGACCUGGGAAGAACUGGGGAACUUAAUCUACAUUUGGUUGGAGUAAAGGAUCAUAGAGAGGCUGGAAAGUAGCAGGAAUAAGCCUGUUUCUGUCAAGAUCACAAAAGGCAUGCAGGUGUGAGGAAACAAUUGUGACUGGACCCAGGCCUGGUACAAGAUCAAAUCCCUGAGAUCAGCAUUUUACUGAGCCAAAGAUGCAAACUCUUGUUCUUGGGCAGGUCACACAAUUGCUGCUCUCUAUGACAAGCUGUACAUGAUUCUCUCCAAGGAUGCAGGUGACAACCCAGGUAUGGAGACUUCAGCACCUGGGUUGGGCAGGAGGAGGGAGGAGGAGGUGGCAGGAGCCCCUCCUGAGGGUGAAACCAUGAGCAUGUCUCACCUGUACGGAGACUGAUCCCUGAUCCAUGAUGACCCUUACAGUCGGGAAGAUUCAUCAGUCACAAUACACUUAGUGGCAGUUUCCCCUUCCAUUCUAUGGAAUAGCAUGGAGGAAGUGGAGGAAGUGGAGGGUCGUGAAGAAACCCACAUGGCCAAGCCAUCUUCUGUUGCUCCCAAGAACAUGCUGGAUCAUCUAGCAUGGGCAUUGCCAGCCAUGGACCUGUUUCUGAAGUGGGUACUUGUAAGUUCUGGGCAGCAUGAGUGGUUCCCCACUGUUUCAGGGUCUAUUUUUGCACCUGCUGGCAUUUUCUGCACUGCAUGGUGGAGGGCGUGAAGAUUGCAUAUUUUUCUCCUCUUGGGGGGAAAGCAACCAUUGCUUUUUUCUUUGUUAAUCAGCCACUGUGACCCACGGCCACCCACAAUGGACCCCAGCUUGCAUUACAGAAGAGAGCUGCAGAGAUUUUUGCAGCAGGCAGCUAUGGUCCCGCAAAAGUUCGCUCGAGGCUUUGGCAGAAUUAUCAGUAGCCGGAGUGGAAUGCAUAUAUGCCUGGCAGAAGAAACUCCUUGAGUUGCUGCAUGAGGAUGAUGCCAUCAUGGAGGAAUUGUGAGACAGCAUGUGGGAGUUCAAAGACAUGUUCACUGAGUACCAUGUUGAAUUACAGAGCUCACCGGAAGAUUUCAGUGAUGCCUUUCACAGUGUGCAGAAUUACCUCUUAAAUAAAUGGGUACCAUGCCUGAAAGGGAAAUUUGGUCCUCCUGGCUUGCCUCUGUGCAGGAAAAACUGGCAUGGAGACUUACAGAUGAGCCUGUUCCCCCUAACUCAGUGAGGUCCCAGGAGGGUCAUACAACUGCCAGCAGAGCCAGGAGGGCACUACUGUGUUUCAGGGAGACAGGGCAAUUCAGGGUCGGGGGAGGUAAAGAAGACCAAGUAACUACUUACAAGACUAUGUUCCAAAUAAUAAAACCUCGUGGUUUCCUGGCUUCCUGUGUCUGCCUCCGUAUCUUACCCUUGGUGGAGAAGGUGAAUUUUGUUCAUUGUUUGGGUUCAUUUCUCUGCUCAUUUUUCCUGCCGCUUACUUCAUAGGGCAUGGGGCGGGGAGGGGUUGACAAUCUCUCUUGCACAGGUACAUGGGGAGGCUCUGAAGGUAAACAGGGGGGCUGCUUGAAUGGGUUGCAACACACAAGUGCUGGCCUACACAGUAGCAUUUUGAAAACCCAGCACCCACUCUGCAAAGUCUCUUCAGAGGUCAUAUUGCCUCUGAUUUCACCUCCCUUAGCUGGGAGAAUGGAAGUGGUGUGCCAGUAGCCUGGCUUGCUUUUUGGCAAGCCACCGGCCACUUUGCACAGUUGCCCACAGGGGUUGUUGCCUUCCCAGUCUGGUCUGCCUAUAGUGUGUGGUGGGGGUGCUCUUUGGCUCACCCUUUUCAACCCUUGAAUUUUCCCUAGACCAAAACUUUGCAAAUGCACUUUUUCAGCAUUCAUUUUGCACUCUUUUCCAGCCAUGUCUUGAGGGGACUACAGGCUGAUCAAGUGGGGUGCAGUGCAGUGAAGCUUCAAGUGCAAUUUGAGGCCCGUACCUCUGCGACAUGAAACUCGAAAGAGCACAUGAUGAUGUGCUCCAUGUCACCUUCGGCUGGUCAAUCCCUGUGGGUGUGACAAGAUGCAGAAGAGAAGAGGCAGCAUGAGAAGAUGAAGAGGAUAACACUUCCUUCAGGAUGUUCUUAACAACUGAAUUACUAUAUAUAUUAUACUGUGUAUUAUAAUUAUUGUUGAUUUUCAUCUUAUAGAUCUGUGUAGACAGGUAAUACUAAUAAUAGGAGUCAAUAACAAUAUUAAUUCCAUUACCAAUAUAUUAG